rnacentral:rRNA from 1 species
GUGCCAGCCGCCGCGGUAAUACGGAGGAUCCAAGCGUUAUCCGGAUUUAUUGGGUUUAAAGGGUGCGCAGGCGGAAGAUUAAGUCGGCGGUGAAAUUUUGCAGCUCAACUGUAAAAGUGCCAUCGAUACUGGUUUUCUUGAGUGUGGAUGAAGUAGGCGGAAUUUGUGGUGUAGCGGUGAAAUGCAUAGAUAUCACGAGGAACUCCGAUUGCGCAGGCAGCUUACUAGGCCAUAACUGACGCUCAGGCACGAAGGCGUGGGGAUCAAACAGGAUUAGAUACCCUGGUAGUCCACGCAGUAAACGAUGAUUACUCGCUGUUUGCGAUACACAGUAAGCGGCUUAGCGAAAGCGUUAAGUAAUCCACCUGGGGAGUACGUUCGCAAGAAUGAAACUCAAAUAAAUUGACGG